GGGCUACUCAGUAGCACCUUCUUUUCCUGAGUUCCGAACUAACUGAGACAUAAGAUGAAUGAGUGACAGAGGGAAGCCACCAGAGCCCCUUUAUUCCCAAAUAAACCUUAACUGGAAGACGUCACUUAAGGUGAGAGAAAACAUGAUCCUGAGUACUGAACCUGAAGAAAUGACAGAUUUAUCCGCACGGUAAUGGCAACACUGAACUGAGGCAGCAUCCCAACAUGACGGCAUGCACGGGGUGUUCUGUGCCUGGAAAAGAAUGGAGAAAUUACGCUUUCUGUGGCUAGCUCACUCCCAAAAGAGAAAAAGGGCAAUGCUGAGCUGAGAAAGUUAAAGCCAUUAUUCUUCAAUCAUAGAGCACGGCCCUGUUACUCUGGGCAAAGCAUUCUGCCUGAUUUCUUAACUCUGGGCUCAGCCACAUGACGCACUUUGGUUAACGGGAGAUGAGCAAGCACAGUGCAACCACCUGUACCUCUGCCAUUGCCACCGUCAGAAGCGUGUUUUCCAACGAGCCCCCUGGAGGCUCAAAGUCAUCUCGUUUAUUCCAGCAAAGACCAUACUAGAUCAGUCAACAGCCAUCCAACCUCUAGACAGGGUUUGGGUGGCUCCAAGAAGAGAAUCAAUCUGGUAAUUUUGACACGAAUUUCAAAGGACAUGGUAGACCGUGCUUAGUGAUGAAUUUGGUGCUCCAGAAGACCCCACAGUUCUGACCGUAAUGACUUUCCUAGUUCUUCCAUUAACAGAUAAGUUAUGCUGGGCUGUUUCUUCAAACCUUCCUGGCCGAAAUGAAGAUAAUCUGUCUUAUUUCUUAACCACUGGAAACGAGAGUGAAUUUGUCAUAUCCAAUAUUCUGUAGAUUCCUUUGGCCAAUUAUUCUACUUUGGGUCUGAACUCAUCCCUAGUAAUGUACAAUCUGUUUUACAUGUUAAUUUUUAAUGGUGUGAUUUUGGCUUGUCCUUCAAAUCAGUUGAGUAGAAACACUGAUUUAUUUUUAUCCCUUUCAUCAAUGCCAGGGAACAAAAUAAAUUACUCCAGAACACGUUCUCUUGCUUUUGCUUCUCCCCUCUAAGAGAUUAUAGAUAAA